AACGAACGCUGGCGGCAUGCCUAACACAUGCAAGUCGAACGAGACCUUCGGGUCUAGUGGCGCACGGGUGCGUAACGCGUGGGAACCUGCCCUUAGGUUCGGAAUAACUCCCCGAAAGGGGUGCUAAUACCGGAUAAUGUCUUCGGACCAAAGAUUUAUCGCCUUUGGAUGGGCCCGCGUUGGAUUAGCUAGUUGGUAGGGUAAAAGCCUACCAAGGCGACGAUCCAUAGCUGGUCUGAGAGGAUGAUCAGCCACACUGGGACUGAGACACGGCCCAGACUCCGACGGGAGGCAGCAGUGGGGAAUAUUGGACAAUGGGCGAAAGCCUGAUCAAGCAAUGCCGCGGGAGUGAUGAAGGCCUUAGGGUUGUAAAGCUCUUUUACCCGGGAUGAUAAUGACAGUACCGGGAGAAUAAGCUCCGGCUAACUCCGUG
rnacentral:rRNA from 1 species